rnacentral:ncRNA from 8 species
CUGCCCAGUGCUCUGAAUGUCAAA